CAGUCGCCACGGUAAUACGUAGGGUGCGAGCGUUAAUCGGAAUUACUGGGCGUAAAGCGUGCGCAGGCGGUUUUGUAAGACAGAGGUGAAAUCCCCGGGCUCAACCUGGGAACUGCCUUUGUGACUGCAAGGCUAGAGUACGGCAGAGGGGGAUGGAAUUCCGCGUGUAGCAGUGAAAUGCGUAGAUAUGCGGAGGAACACCGAUGGCGAAGGCAAUCCCCUGGGCCUGUACUGACGCUCAUGCACGAAAGCGUGGGGAGCAAACAGGAUUAGAUACCCCCGUAGUCCCUGUCUCUUAUAC
rnacentral:rRNA from 1 species